rnacentral:lncRNA from 1 species
AAUGACUAAAUAUAAGAAAAAAUUACUUGAGUGUUUUUUGAGCGAUCAUCGACAAACUCCUUAUUUCUCUUGAUAUGAGUCUCCAUAUGGAUCUCAUUAAGAAGCAUAGUUCUACCCAACUCGUCAUGCUAAUUAAAUGAAAAAAUAAAUAAAAAAUAAUUAGUUUUAAUUAAUCUAAAAUUUAAAUGAAAAUUUUAGUAAAACAUAAAUAAAC